UUUGGAAUGUGUGACUGGAAAGUCACUUAAAUUAGGCUCCAGCGCAGGCCGGAAAGAAGAUGGGAGACACCGUCUCUGGGUGACAGUGCAUGGAUGCCGUAAGGAGGCGAUCGGUUCUCCUUUCAGCAAUCGAUCAAUUGAUGAUACACGAGAGAAACUAGACGAUAGAAUCUCUAAUCUUCCUGGAUAAUUAAUUCAAAGAGACAAUGCUCAUAUCUGAGGAAGAUAUUCUCAUGUCUUCAAUGUGGCAAAAGGUGGACAAUUCUGUGCCACUUUUGUGUAUCUCUUCAGCUGUGCACAAUGAGCGGCAGUGAAAUACUUUUGGACAAAGGACUGAAAGCAGGGCUAUGGCUGUGGGGAGGGCCAUAUUCCCUGUCACCUGGCUUUCUGUGGAAGAAAAAUAGAAAACGAACGGAGAUGCAAGACAGAAACCCAGGCUGUGCCUGAAGUCACCACGUCCACUGCUAAGCAGAUGAAACGGGGACACAGGUCAAAGUUGUGCGGUGUGCUGAGGCUACAAUAAGGAGAAG